AUGAACGCUGGCGGCGUGCCUAAUACAUGCAAGUAGAACGCUGAAGGAGGAGCUUGCUCUUCUGGAUGAGUUGCGAACGGGUGAGUAACGCGUAGGUAACCUGCCUGGUAGCGGGGGAUAACUAUUGGAAACGAUAGCUAAUACCGCAUGACAACAGUUAUUGCAUGAUAACUGUUUAAAAGGGGCAACUGCUCCACUACCAGAUGGACCUGCGUUGUAUUAGCUAGUUGGUGAGGUAACGGCUCACCAAGGCGACGAUACAUAGCCGACCUGAGAGGGUGAUCGGCCACACUGGGACUGAGACACGGCCCAGACUCCUACGGGAGGCAGCAGUAGGGAAUCUUCGGCAAUGGACGGAAGUCUGACCGAGCAACGCCGCGUGAGUGAAGAAGGUUUUCGGAUCGUAAAGCUCUGUUGUAAGAGAAGAACGAGUGUGAGAGUGGAAAGUUCACACUGUGACGGUAGCUUACCAGAAAGGGACGGCUAACUACGUG
rnacentral:rRNA from 1 species